rnacentral:lncRNA from 1 species
UUUAAAAGUAGGACACGUGUCACACAAUGGUUGGCUGGACGUGAUUUUUGUUCAUUUAAUACUUUGAACUCAAUUAUUUCGUUGUAAAUUAAUUUUUUAUUAUUUUUUUUUAUACCAAAAUUCAUAAUUUCUUUUUUUUCUACAAAUAGAGACUUGGUUCGUUUGAUUUGGACACCGAAAAAAAAAUGCAAUUUUUCACUACUUUAAUCUCAUUUUUUGUCUACUAAAUACGUUACUUAUGUGUUGUAAUUUAACACGCACCACUCAACCAACUCACUGAAACCAUUAUACCAGGAAAAUAGUAGAUAAUAUUCUGGAACUUUUGGUAUAUUUUAUGAAAUUUUUGAAGACCUGAAACUAUUUUUAGUUAAUUAAAUGAGAUAAGACGGUAAUUAAAAACUAAUGUUUGCUUCUGAAACCAUUUUACUGGUAGAAUUGUUGCACAUAGUUGUAUUCUGAAACCAUUUUACUGGUAGAAUGGUUUCAAUGAGUAAUUUAUUAAUUGUGUUUGCUUCUGAAACCAUUUAUCUGGUACAAUGGUUUCAGAGAGUUGUAAUCUGAAACCAUUUUGCUGGUAGAAUGAUUUCAAUAAGUUGAUUAUUAGUUAUUUGCUUCUGAAACCAUUUAGCUUGUAGAAUGGUUGCACAUAGUUGUACUCUGAAACUAUUUUACUGGUAAAAUGGUUUCAGUGAGUAAUUUAUUAAUUGUGUUUGCUUCUGAAACCAUUUUGCUGGUAGAAUGGUUUCAGUAAGUUGAUUCUUAGUUAUUUGCUUCUGAAACCAUUUAGCUGGUAGAAUGGUUUCAGAGAUUUGUACUCUGAAACCAUUUUCCUGGUAGAAUGGUUUCAGUGAGUUGAUGUAAGGUAGUGAAAAAUUGGGUUUUUUUUCCUGUGUCCAAAUCAAACAAACCAAGUCUCUGUUUGUAGAGAAAAAAAAAUUAUGAAUUUUGGUAUAAAAAAAAUAAAAAAUUAAUUUACAACGAAAUAAUUGAGUUCAAAGUAUUAAAUGGAAAAAAAUCACGCCCAGCCAAUCAGACAGCGACACGUGUCCUGCUUUUUAAAAAGUAGAUUCUUCUCUCUCCAGGGUGUAAUCCAGUGUGGUGCACGCGCUGGAAUCUGAUGGAUUCAGAUGAUCUGGGCUGUCUGAUUGAUCAGACAGUCUUGAUGAGAUCAGAUCUUGGUUGUCUGAUGGAAAUCAACGGCCUGUAACCAUGGUCCUGCGGUACGCGCGCGACACUGGAUCCGAGUCCAUUGAUGAUAAUUUGGUUAAUUAAUUAAAAAG